ACGGGUGAGUAACGCGUAGGUAACCUGCCUGGUAGCGGGGGAUAACUAUUGGAAACGAUAGCUAAUACCGCGUAACAGUAGAUAUUGCAUGAUAUCUGCUUGAAAGGUGCAAAUGCAUCACUACCAGAUGGACCUGCGUUGUAUUAGCUAGUUGGUGGGGUAACGGCUCACCAAGGCGACGAUACAUAGCCGACCUGAGAGGGUGAUCGGCCACACUGGGACUGAGACACGGCCCAGACUCCUACGGGAGGCAGCAGUAGGGAAUCUUCGGCAAUGGACGAAAGUCUGACCGAGCAACGCCGCGUGAGUGAAGAAGGUUUUCGGAUCGUAAAACUCUGUUGUUAGAGAAGAACAAGUGCUAGGGUAACUGUUAGCGCCUUGACGGUAUCUAACCAGAAAGCCACGGCUAACUACGUGCCAGCAGCCGCGGUAAUACGUAGGUGGCAAGCGUUGUCCGGAUUUAUUGGGCGUAAAGCGAGCGCAGGCGGUUCCUUAAGUCUGAUGUGAAAGCCCCCGGCUCAACCGGGGAGGGUCAUUGGAAACUGUUAAACUUGAGUGCAGGAGAGAAAAGUGGAAUUCCUAGUGUAGCGGUGAAAUGCGUAGAGAUUAGGAGGAACACCAGUGGCGAAGGCGGCUUUUUGGCCUGUAACUGACACUGAGGCGCGAAAGCGUGGGGAGCAAACAGGAUUAGAUACCCUGAUAGUCCACGCCGUAAAC
rnacentral:rRNA from 1 species